rnacentral:rRNA from 1 species
GAUGAACGCUGGCGGCGUGCCUAAUACAUGCAAGUCGAGCGAACAGACGAGGAUCUUGCUCCUCUGACGUUAGCGGCGGACGGGUGAGUAACACGUGGAUAACCUACCUAUAAGACUGGUAUAACUUCGGGAAACCGGAGCUAAUACCGGAUAAUAUAUUGAACCGCAUGGUUCAAUAGUGAAAUACGGUUUUGCUGGCACUUAUAGAUGGAUCCGCGCCGCAUUAGCUAGUUGGUAAGGUAACGGCUUACCAAGGCAACGAUGCGUAACCGAAGUGAGAGGGUGAUCGGCCACACUGGAACUGAGACACGGUCCAGAGGCCUAAGGGACGGAGCAGUAGGGAACCGUCCGCAAUGGGCGAAAGCCUGACGGAGCAACGCCGAGUGAGUGAUGACGGUCUUCGGAUCGUAAAACUGUGCUAUUAGGGAAGAACAAAUGUGUCAGUAACUAUGCACGUCUUGACGGUACCUAAUCAGAAAGCCACGGCUAACUACGUG